rnacentral:rRNA from 1 species
GAUGAACGCUGGCGGCGUGCCUAAGACAUGCAAGUCGAGUGGGUUUAGACCCACGGCGAACGGGUGAGUAAUACCUAGGAAUGUAUCUUUAGUUGAGGAUAUCCCACCGAAAGGUGGAGCAAUACUCAAUGUGAACGCAAGUUUAAAGUCGCAAGACGCUAAAGAAGCAGCCUGGGCACCAUCAGCUAGUUGGUAAGGUAAAAGCUUACCAAGGCUAUGACGGUUA